GCCUGGGUGGCUCAGUCGGUUGAGCGUCCGACUUUGGCUCAGGUCAUGAUCUCACAGUCUGUGGGUUCGAGCCCCGUGUCAGGCU
rnacentral:tRNA from 1 species